ACGGGUGCGUAACACGUGAGUAAUCUGCCGGGAAGUGGGGGAUGACUCGUCGAAAGGCGAAUUAAUACCGCAUAUGGCCAGGGAGGACAUCCUUCUGAAGCCAAAGCCGCAAGGCGCUUCCUGAUGAACUCGCGGCCUAUCAGCUAGUUGGUGAGGUAAUGGCUCACCAAGGCUAUGACGGGUAGCUGGUCUGAGAGGACGACCAGCCACACUGGAACUGAGACACGGUCCAGACACCUACGGGUGGCAGCAGUCGAGAAUUUUUCACAAUGGGGGCAACCCUGAUGGAGCGACGCCGCGUGGAGGAUGAAGGUCUUCGGAUUGUAAACUCCUGUCAAAUGGGAACAAGAAAGUGAUAGUACCAUUAGAGGAAGAGACGGCUAACUCUGUGCCAGCAGCCGCGGUAAUACAGAGGUCUCAAGCGUUGUUCGGAUUCAUUGGGCGUAAAGGGUGCGCAGGCUGUGGGGUAAGUCGGAUGUGAAAUUUAGGGGCUCAACCUCUAAACUGCAUUCGAUACUGCUCCGCUAGAGGUAUGUAGAGGAGAUUGGAAUUCACGGU
rnacentral:rRNA from 1 species